rnacentral:rRNA from 1 species
GACGAACCGUGCGAACGUUAUUCGGAAUCACUGGGCUUAAAGCGCGUGUAGGCGGGUGGGAACGUCGGCCACUGAAAGCCCCCGGCUCAACCGGGGAAGGGGUGCCGAAACGGCCCGCCUGGAGGGGCGUAGGGGGACCUGGAACUUCCGGUGGAGCGGUGAAAUGCGUUGAGAUCGGAAGGAACGCCCGUGGCGAAAGCGAGGUCCUGGACGUCAUCUGACGCUGAGACGCGAAAGCUAGGGGAGCGAACGGG